rnacentral:tRNA from 1 species
UUUAGUUUAACAUAUAUUAUAAUGUGAGAGGUUGUAAACUUCUUUAAGGCUACAGUCAACUAGGA